GAGAGGGAGAGAGGGAUAGAGGGAGAGAGGGAGAGAGGGAUAGAGAGGUAGAGGGAGAGAGGGAGAGAGGGAUAGAGAGGUAGAGGGAUAGAGAGGUAGAGGGAGAGAGGGAGAGAGGGAUAGAGAGGUAGAGGGAUAGAGAGUUAGAGGGAGAGAGGGAUAGAGAGGUAGAGGGAUAGAGAGGUAGAGGGAGAGAGGGAGAGAGGGAUAGAGAGGUAGAGGGAGAGAGGGAUAGAGAGGUAGAGGGAGAGAGGGAGAGAGGGAGAGAGGGAUAGAGAGGUAGAGGGAGAGAGGGAGAGAGGGAUAGAGAGGUAGAGGGAGAGAAGGAGAGAGGGAUAGAGAGGUAGAGGGAGAGAGGGAGAGAGGGAUAGAGAGGUAGAGGGAGAGAGGGAGAGAGGGAUAGAGAGGUAGAGGGAGAGAGGGAGAGAGGGAUAGAGAGAUAGAGGGAGAGAGGGAGAGAGGGAUAGAGAGGUAGAGGGAGAUAGGGAGAGAGGUAGAGGGAUAGAGAGGGAUAGAGAGGUAGAGAGAGAGAGGUAGAGGGAUAGAGAGGUAGAGGGAUAGAGAGGGAU
ensembl:lncRNA